AAGAUUUUAAGUUAUUCAAACUAGCAUCCUUCAAAGUUGCAAAUAAAAGAUUCUCUUUUAAAUCUUA
rnacentral:tRNA from 1 species